UAGAUGCGAGAGUAGAGCAUAUCAAUAAGCGGAGGAAAAGAAACUAACAAGGAUUCCCUUAGUAACGGCGAGUGAAGCGGGAAGAGCUCAAAUUUGAAAUCUUCAAGGUUCUACCUUGACGAAUUGUAGUUUAGAGAAGUGUUUUCUGUUAGUAGGAGUGGCAAAAGUUCUUUGGAAUAGGACAUCAUAGAGGGUGAGAAUCCCGUAUUUGGUCAUUCCUUCCUAGCGUUGUGAUACACUUUCAACGAGUCGGAUUGUUUGGGAAUGCAGUCCAAAAUGGGUGGUAAAUUUCAUCUAAAGCUAAAUAUUGGCGAAGAGACCGAUAGCGAACAAGUACCGUGAGGGAAAGAUGAAAAGAACUUUGAAAAGAGGAGUUAAACAGUACGUGAAAUUGUCAAAAGGGAAGCGUUUGACACCAGUGUUGUUUUUCCGAAAAUCAAUUACGAGUGUUUUAUUUUUGAGAAGUUAUGACUUCAUCGGCUUGCUUCUCUCUUUAUGAAACUUUCUUAAUGCACUUUUCGGUUAACAAGUCAACAUCAAUUUCUUUUGUUGUAAAAGGGUAUGAGGAAGGUGGCUUUCUUUUCGGAGAAAGUGUUUAUAGCCUUGUACCUCUGCAAUCGGAGAGAUUGAGGUCUGCAGCGUAGAUCCUUCGGGGUUAGAUACAUUUGUGCUAAGUUAUAGCUUUUCAUAGACAACUUGUUGACUAUGUUUAGUCUUGUAGCUUACUCGCUUAUGCUAUUUUACCUACGCUUAGGAUGUUGACACACGCGCGUGCUCG
rnacentral:rRNA from 1 species